GACUGAAGACUCAUAAUUUUCUGUGCAUAUUUCUGAAGCUGCAGGUGAAAAUAACUAGAAAAAUAGGGUUUGGUUUGGCAGGCUACUUGGUAUUAUCUAGUAAUACUUAAAAUGCACAUAUUCUUUCACCCAGUAUGUCAUGGUUACAAGUCAUGCAUCUCACACCCUUUUGCAAUGUUUGAAUUCUGUAAUUGUAUGAAUGCAUUUUCUAGAUUUAUCAAAUAUUAACAUUUCAAAGACUAGGGUUGGGGAUGAACUGUGGCUAUACAUAAAGUCUAUAUAUCAUCACCAUUUUGGUUCCCCAGCAUCAAAAGAGUGACUAUGCAGGUGAAGGCAGUAAUGAUGCAAAUGGAAAUGUGGCUGUGAGCAAGCAGCUGGCUCUACAAAGCACACAGGCCUGGACUCAGCCUGUGAAGCGGCGGGUACUCAGAAAGUGACACUAGUAUUUUAAAUAAACACCCAAGAGCUUUUGCAUCUGAUUGUUUCCUUCAAAGUAGUCUGCUGGGAGCCUAGAUCAUCAGAGGAUGUUCAUCAGAGGGUGAACAGAUCAUCCUAGAUCACAGAGGAGUUCUGUGCUAAGAAUGUGUCAAAACCUUCUGUCUGGACCUUCAGAGUGGUGACAGGAGUUACUCAUUCGUGGCAAAUAUUUAUCCACAGAGGCAGAAUCUGAAUUUUGGAAACGGUCAAAUGUCUUUUGGCCACAAGUUUGGUUAAAGAGAUGAAAAAUCAAGUUAGGCAAUUACUCUUUUAGUAAAAACCAAGCCAUAGAAUCAGAGCAGGCUGCGGCUCUGGUGUCCCUUAAAAACUGGCUCUGAGAGUGAAGCCCCAAAAGGAUGCUAAAAAAAAAAAAAAAAAAAAGUGCGCCUGGCAGCAUCAUCGGGAUGAGGCUGAGGUCCCCAGGGGACCACUUUGAAAGUGGCAACGCUCGCCUGGGCAGUGCGGGUUCUGUUUAUUUGUUAGAGAAACCCGCCGGCCCGGGGCGCGGCGGCUGGUGCGGCGACUCAGCUCUUCUUGCGCAGCUGGCUGUACUGCGUGCGGCCCAGGAUGGGCUCCAUGACGCUGGGCCGGAAGAAGCUGUCGCUGACCCUGCGCUUUGGCUUCUCGAGGGACACGGCCGGGAAGCCCGGGCGCGGCGCUGCGGGCGUGGCGACUUUGUCCUCCAGGCCCGGGCCGGGGGGCGCGCCGGGGCUCUGCGCGCUGCGCAGGCUGCGGCGGGGCUGUGCGAGACGCGGGGCGGGCUCCGGGCCGGCGGACGGCGCCCCAGACGCCCUGCGCUCCGCCUCCCGGCGCUCGACCUCGGCUGGUGGGUUGUCGAUGUCCCGGAAUUCGCUCUCGGGCUCCAUCAGCGACAGCCUGGGGAGCUGAGGGCCCGGCAGCCGCCUUAGAGUCCUGGCUUGGCCCUGGGCCCUGCGCCUCUGACCCACCGCCCCUUCCCGGGCCCCUCGAUUGUUCCCCCGGGAGCGGCCGUCAGGAGGACACAGGCUGGGGAGCGGUUCAGUAGUUUGGGGGGCACCGGGGAAAGCCCUGAGGUCCUGCCCACUCUGAGCUUCUCCAUGGACCAGGCUGCUCAGGCAAGCCAAGCCUCCCAAAGUUUCAGGAUCCCCUAGGCCUUCCUGAGGGGAACCCUCAAUGGGAGGUCAUCAGCUUUCCUAACUCUUCCUUGCAGCCCACACAGUGACCUGGCCAGGGACGGGUACACCUUCCUGGGGCUGGCCCGAGCGCAGGAUGAACAGGCGGGCUGCUAAGAUCCCUGGCAUGCUGCUUGGUAGAGUGACUGAGUAACCCACCCCCUUACCAGCUCUAAGGGUGCUUUCUGCCCUGACCAGCCCCGCCCCCCAGGCCUGCAUAAUCUGUAACCUGCUUUGGAAAGGGGCUCCCAAAGGGAUGGCAUUGGUAUCCCCUGGGUUUUUCCUAUUGGUGACAGGUGAUAGAAUUGGGUGGAGCCUGCUGCUGUCCCCUGGAACUCAUGGCCCACCCCUCAGGGGGCCCUGGAAGCCUCUCCAACCCCUUCCCAGGCAGCAGCAUGCAAACCUGCCCAGCCCUUCAGUUGAGAGCAAAGGGGUGAAGGUGAGCCACUGGGAUCCCGGGACUGAUGGCUGGAGACUCCUCUACCAGCAGGUGGGAGGGGCCGUGGGGAGAGGCCUCAGGCCAGAGCCAUGGGCCUCUGCACUCCUGGGGCUGGGAGAGGCCCAGUAUGUUAAAAUGUUGCCAGGGCACUGAGGACUGGAGUGGGGGGCGGUCUCCAGAGGAGUAGGGAAAGGAGGGGACUGCAGCCCCUUCAGUCAAAUCUACUUUAUCUGCCAUGUCCAGGCCCCCUUGGGACACUAACAGUUUGCCAGGGGUGGUACUCACCGGCACGUAAUGCACCACUGUGUCCACCACGUUGUCAGUAACGCCCUUCAGGGCAUCUGAUAGGGACAUGGCCCUCCCCUUGGUUGAGGAGACAGCAGGGGCUGGUGUGAGGUGCAGCACCCUCCUUGCCAUGCCCAGCACAGCUGCAGGUGCCCAUGUCACAGCCGAGAUGGUGGUCUGGAGGGUCUUCUGCAGGGUAUGUGCCACACCACCCAGGAGGCCUCGAGGGCCUGGCAGGGCUGCUACCUGGGGGCCAGAGCAGGGUCAGUGCCUCCUGUGGUAACUCCCCUGACCCUUCCCUCCCCACCAGCCCCAGGGCUAGAGGGAAAAGCAUGAGAAUACCAAAUUUACAAAACUUCAGGCCUAUUCUGCCACUAGCAGUGUGGCCUUGGACAGGUCACAUUCCCUCUCUGAACCUCUGUUUCUUCUCCUGCAAAAUGGGACAAUAAUCUCUGCCCUGCCUAUUUACAGAGUGUUGCAAGGGUCAGCUGAGAGAAUGACAUGGAAGUCCCUCGCCAGCUGGGCAUUUGGGGGUGGGGUGAAGGGUGUUGCACUCACAUGCCAUGCCCCUGCAUCUGGGGCAGAGGCCCUGAGUUCACCCUAUGCCUCUGCUUCUCACCCCUUCUGUGGGCUGGGGGACCAUGAGGCUCCCACUCUCCCCCUCACCUCACUGAACUUGUUCUCCUCAGUCUCCAAUUCUUCCUCCUCCUCCGUGUCCUCUCCCUCCGUGUCUGUCUGGUCCUCAUGAUCCUCCUCCUGGGCGGCUGCGAGGCUGUGCAGCCAGGGUACCCGCACUUCGCUCCUCCGCCGGGACACCGCCUGCAUGGCCACUGAGGCACCCCACUGGGCCAGGCUGCUCUGAGGGAGGAUGGCAGCAGAUUGCUGGCUCAACUGCCCCUGCUGAAGGCCAGGGAGCCCCAGCAGGCCAAGCCCCUUGCCCCCAGGGUCCGGGCCAGGUGGUGAGCAGGGCUCAGCCCCAGCAGACUUUUCUUGAAACUUUUUAUUGAGUGGUAAUCUACAUACACUAAAGUGCACACAUCUUUAGUGUAAGCUCUAUGAAUUUUUAUAAGAACACACCUGUGUAACCACCACAGAUCAAGACAUAGACCAUUUUCAACACCCAAAGACUCCCUGUGUCCCCACUCAGUCCAUAUUCCCCCAAGAGUGACCACAGUCCUGCUCUCUGUCACCAUGCCUUAGUUUUGCCUAUUUUCGAACUUCAUGUAAGUGGAGUCACACCAUGUGUAUUCAUUCAUUAAUAGCUCCUUUAGUUAAAUAUGAUGGUGUAAGUUUCACCCAUGUUGCUGCAAAUGGAAGUAGCUCCUUCUUUUUCAUUUCUGUGUAAUAUUCCAUCAUACGAAUUUCCUGCAAUUUACCCAUUCUACCGUUGAUGGACAUUAUCAUCGCUUCCAGUUCUUAGCUAAGGAUAUUGCUGAUCUGAACAUUUUUUACUUGUCUUGGGAGACUUAAGUGCUCAUUUCUGUUGGGUAUACACUUAAGAGUGGAACUGCUGGGCCGUAGGAUAUAUGUAUGUUAGCUUUGGUAGAUACUCCUCCCAGAUCUUUUAAGAGUGAAAAAUUCAGUGAACCAGAGUGUCCCAUGGGAAGAAAUUGACUGAGCAAGUGGGCUGGUAUCUCCUGAGGCACAUUCUAAACCUCUAGGGAGCCCCACAAACAGAGCCUCCUUAUUACACAGCUUUUGGGAAUGCCACUCUGUUCCAUGCGAAUGGUGGCACGUGAGGUUCUGCCCACUGCAGGCGGGGUCCAGGCAUGUGACUCAGUCUCAGCUGUUAUUGAUGCAGGGGACAGAGGGGAACUACUACUCCUGUAUUCCUGCAGGGGCAACACUUGCUUGAAUGAAUGAUCCACGCCUGAUGAUGCUUUUAAAAGUCUGCUCAAAAGAUGGCUGAAAAGUAGUCAUCUUGUUUGCUGGCCUUUAUGCUUUAAUAUUGUUUUAUUUUCUUUUCUGGCCUUAGUUUCUUACUAAAAUUCCUUAUGAAAAACAUCCAGCCUAUUUCUGCUAAGAUACAGAGAGGUGGAGGUGGGGAGUGGUGGGGGGUUAACUCUCCCUGGGCCUAGAAAGGGCAACUUCACCUUGGGUGCAUUGGUGCUGGGUACACUCUCCCUGACAAAAUGGGUUGUAUACUUUGUUUAUUUAAGGAUGACAGUCCCUAGUGCUUGCAUAGCAGAUGGAGGUCCUGCUGUCUUAUAGGUGGGAAGACCCAUAGAAAGAGGUCCACUUGGGGGGAUGAAGGCUGGGGCUUGUGG
rnacentral:lncRNA from 1 species